UACGAAGGGGGCUAGCGUUGCUCGGAAUCACUGGGCGUAAAGGGUGCGUAGGCGGGUCUUUAAGUCAGGGGUGAAAUCCUGGAGCUCAACUCCAGAACUGCCUUUGAUACUGAGGAUCUUGAGUUCGGGAGAGGUGAGUGGAACUGCGAGUGUAGAGGUGAAAUUCGUAGAUAUUCGCAAGAACACCAGUGGCGAAGGCGGCUCACUGGCCCGAUACUGACGCUGAGGCACGAAAGCGUGGGGAGCAAACGGC
rnacentral:rRNA from 1 species